GGAAUAUGCGCAGACCGAGGAGACGGACGGGAAGAGAGCUCCAGCGAGCGGAUUUAAAAUGCGGGUUUUACAAAGAGCGAAUGCGGAUCCAGGGCCGAAAAUAAAGCCGUGAAUAGAUAUCGGGCCGGCGGUUGAGUUUGGAAGCUUCAUAAACUCACGGUGUCGGCCCCAAACCCUCAAUAAGAAGCCACUGCUUCCGGGUUUGCUCGGAGCUGCGGGAGGAAGAGUGAGUGGGUGUGUGAGGAGGAAUGGAGCCAGCGGAGUGGGCAGGGAGGCUUUAUAAACACACAGUGCAGGCCACAGACCCCAAAUAACAAGGUACCGGUCUUGUAUUUGCAGAGAACGGGCCGGAAAAGUCUGGAUUGCAGAUGGGAAAUUCAAACCAAUCAUCACUUCAGAGUCUGCAAGAAUCACUCGAUUCAUCCGGACCUGGAUAUUAUCGGUCUCUUUGAGUAUACCAGCAACUAUUGCCAAUCCCCAGUUGCCUGUGGAGAAGAUGAUGUUUGACCUUCUUGAACCGCUGCAGUCCAUGUGGUGAAGGUGCUCCCACAAUGCUGUUAGGGUGUUAGAAGGGGAGGAUUUGCAAUCGGGAAACUGAAACCAAACAUCACAUCAGGAUCUG